rnacentral:rRNA from 1 species
GAUGAACGCUGGCGGCGUGCCUAAUACAUGCAAGUCGAGCGAACAGACGAGGAGUUUGCUCCUCUGACGUUAGCGGCGGACGGGUGAGUAACACGUGGACAACCUACCUAUAAGAAUGGGAUAACUUCGGGAAACCGGAGCUAAUACCGGAUAAUAUAUUGAACCGCAUGGUUCAAUAGUGAAAGACGGUUUUGCUGUCACUUAUGGAUGGAUCCGCGCCGCAUUAGCUAGUUGGUAAGGUAACGGCUUACCAAGGCGACGAUGCGUAGCCGACCUGAGAGGGUGAUCGGCCACACUGGAACUGAGACACGGUCCAGACUCCUACGGGAGGCAGCAGUAGGGAAUCUUCCGCAAUGGGCGAAAGCCUGACGGAGCAACGCCGCGUGAGUGAUGAAGGUCUUCGGAUCGUAAAGCUCUGUUAUUAGGGAGGAACAAAUGUGUAAGUAACUAUGCACGUCUUGACGGUACCUAAUCAGAAAGCCACGGCUAACUACGUG